UGGGGGAUCGUCUAAUGGUAGGACAACAGUCUUUGGAGCUGUUCAUCCAGGUCCGAAUCCUGGUCCCCCAGCCU
rnacentral:tRNA from 1 species